rnacentral:rRNA from 1 species
CCUACGGGAGGCAGCAGUAAGGAAUAUUGGACAAUGCUCGCAAGAGUGAUCCAGCCAUGCCGCGUGCAGGAAGAAUGCCCUAUGGGUAGUAAACUGCUUUUGAACUAGAGAAAACCCCAGUACGUGUACUGGGCUGAUAGUAUAGUUAGAAUAAGCAUCGGCUAACUUCGUGCCAGCAGCCGCGGUAAGACGAAGGAUGCAAGCGUUAUCCGGAUUCAUUGGGUUUAAAGGGAGCGUAGGUGGACUGAUAAGUCAGUGGUGAAAUCUCCGAGCUUAACUCGGAAAUUGCCAUUGAUACUGUUGGUCUUGAGUACAGUUGCUGUGGGCGGAAUAUGACAUGUAGUGGUGAAAUACAUAGAGAUGUCAUAGAACACCGAUUGCGAAGGCAGCUCACAAAGCUGUAACUGACACUGAGGCUCGAAAGUGCGGGGAUCAAACAGGAUUAGAUACCCUGGUAGUCCGCACCGUAAACGAUANAUACUCNCUGCGUAGGGCGACCGUUACGUGUGUAGACGAAGACGAAGUAAGUAAGUUACGACCGUCGGGUUAGGUUACGGCCGGCCGACGGUUACGGAACGUUACGAAGAGAGUUAGACGGACGUUGAGACGNGCGACGGACGACGACGAGGGAGGUAGGUAG